AUACGGAGGAUCCGAGCGUUAUCCGGAUUUAUUGGGUUUAAAGGGUGCGCAGGCGGCCAUUUAAGUCAGCGGUUAAGUCGUGGGGCUCAACCCCAUUCUGCCGUUGAUACUGGGUGGCUUGAUUGCGGUCGAGGUUGGCGGAAUUCGUUGUGUAGCGGUGAAAUGCAUAGAUAUGACGAAGAACACCGAUUGCGUAGGCAGCUGACCAGACCGCAAAUGACGCUCAUGCACGAAAGUGCGGGGAUCGAACAGGAUUAGAUACCCUGGUAGUCCGCACAGUAAACGAUGAAUACUAAGUGUCGGCAUCCGAAGGAUGUCGGUGCUGCCGUUAACACAAUAAGUAUUCCACCUGGGGAGUACGUACGCAAGGAUGAAACUCAAAUGAAUUGGCGGGG
rnacentral:rRNA from 1 species